CACAUAAAGGGGUGGAGAGAUGUCUUCAUACUUCCUCACCCUCAUUCUUCGACCUCUAGAUGCAGACUGAAGCCCCCGAAGCGGAGCUUGCAUUCCAUCCAGCACGGUGGAGCAAAAAAGCUGAAAACAAGAGCCGGGCCUUUUAAUUUUGUGUAGUUGCUUUGAACUGUCAACCAAUUACUUGACCACACAAUCAUUUUUGUUUCCUCAAUAAUAAAAAUAACAAUAAUGGCUUGGAUUUCAGGAAAAAUGAUUCACAUGGAACAGUUUCAGCCUCUCUAUUAGAUUACUUGAAGGUCAGCAUGAAUCAGCCAAACCUGUUCUUAAUGUAAUGGUAACUAGGACUCUCCACCCCGUCUCCCUGUUAUUCUCUUCUCCUCCCUGGUCUCUUUUGCCAAGAAAUCUUCUACAUCUCCACCUCUGCCGAUGAAUGGCUUCAUCUUUGAGUCUGUGUGUGUGAGCACACGGAUUGCUUGA
rnacentral:lncRNA from 12 species